GGGCCUUUAGUACAUUGUUGAAUAAAAGUGAUGACAACUCAAGAGCAGAAGUCUUCUUUCCUUCACGGCCUAGGAAACUGAGUCAUGGGCUGAUGAUAUAACUUGUCCAUGGUCACAUAACUGGCGUGUUGAGCUGCUUUUGGUAUGCCACAUGCUGCCCAUGAGGGGACACCUGACCUUGAAGAAAAUAGGAGAGAGAUCUGCAAGAAGAGAUCGCUAGACAUGCCAGCCAAGGGACGCAUGGAGAUGGAACUCAGUCACUACGCUGUGGAGAAGCCUGACCCAGCCUAUCUGGAGAGACCACACAGAUAGGAACUGAGGUUUUCAGGUGAUGGCCACUAUCAACCAUUAGAUUUAGAUGUGUCUUGCAAGAAGUUGCUGUAUCCAAGGUCAAAAAGGUUGCUGCAGGGGCGCCUGGGUGGCACAGCGGUUAAGCGUCUGCCUUCGGCUCAGGGCGUGAUCCCAGCGUUAUGGGAUCGAGCCCCACAUCAGGCUCCUCUGCUGUGAGCCUGCUUCUUCCU